AGGAGUUGGAAUAGGAGCUUGCU
rnacentral:piRNA from 1 species